AGAACCGGCGCCACCGCUUCCUCGCUGCUGAGCUUGCUGCAACGACGGCCAUGCAGGAUUUGAUAACCCUCUGUUAUGGUGGUGGUGGACCAGUGACGGACUCUGUUGCUUUUGGUACAGGUCGGCAGCCUUCCAUAUUCCAGAGCUCUGUUGCUUCAUCAUUUGCUGCUGCCGCAGCUGCUGGAACUGUAGCAAACAAAUAAAAAUCAAUUAAAGUUAGGCAAAAGAUUGCGUGGAAGAUUUCAUUUUCAAAUAAAUUUUUUAAACAGAGCGAUUUUGCUUACUUGAGAUGCCUGCAACUGGUGGUAAGACAGGGACGGCUGCUGGUAAGAAUUCUGACCAUCGCAGUGGUCAGAAUUUUUCAACGGGACAGUGACUGGAGACUGUUCCCUCAGCGAUGGUGGACAUCCGCCUAAUAAUCCUCUACCUCCACCGCCGUUGGUUUUCAUCUUGGCUACCUCGCCGGCAGCAGCAAAGAGCAGAUCCAAAGUCGCCGGUGGCUGUGACAAGACUGGCCGGUUCGUACCUUGCCUGCAACCGCAACCGUUUCCGGUGGCCCCACACAGCGUGGAUUGCGGAGAUCCAGACAAUACACGCCCCUGUAAAA
rnacentral:lncRNA from 1 species